GAAAUAUUUCAGCACAGAACCUUGGAUUCCGGGGGAUUCCUGAGGGAGGUGAAGCAUGUGAUCAUCCUGACUUUUUCUUUGCGGCUACUCCUGAAUCAUGGCCCAGGAAGGCAGAAUCCAAGCAGAGCACAACAGGUUUACUAAACUGGAGAGGCAGAGAUUCGAGUCGAAAGUUUGCAGAGGGUCAGGAUAACUGAGAGAACAGAGCUGCAUAAAAGAGCAACUGCAGAAAUUUAUGUAUUAAUCCCCUUCAGGCACUGGAUGAAAUUAAAACAUACAUGUUUAGGGCAAGACUACCCGACCUUUGGCAAAAACAGCUUCCGGAGAGCUAUGAGAUGAGCAGAGCUCUCUGAUGUUACACAGUGCUGAGAAAUAUUGGUGUUCCAAUCAUCCAGAGUGGAGAGAAGACCUCAACUGAGACCCAGAAAGGCCACAUCUGAGAAGCCGUGUUCCUCUCCUCCUAGAGUAGGAGCACUCUAGAAGCACUCUAGCGAAGCCUAGCACCAGGCCUCUAAGGGUCAAGCUGAUCUUCCAGCAAAUUAACUGCCUACAAGAACAAAACAGCAUUCUCUGAGGAGAAGCAACACAAUUCAGACUUGGAAGGUGGUGUCGCGAUGUCUAGACUACAAGAAAAUCUUACAGACAAACACAGAACCAAGAAAAUGCAAUCUAUGCACACGUCACUGGUAAAAACUGAUCCUAAGAUGAUCCAGAUGUUGGGUCAAGAAUUUUAAAACAGCUUUGCAAAUAUGUUCGAGUACAUAAAGGAAAAUGUAAUGAUGAUAAAUUAACAGAUGUGGAAUCUUAACAGAGAAAUGUAAUUUAUAAAAAGGAACCAAAUUAAAAUUUUAGAGCUAAAAUGUAUAACAUCUGAUGUAAAAAAUUAACUGAUGGAAUUAACAACCAAUUGGAGACAACGGAAGAAAGGACAGAUAAACUUUCAUAUAUUAAUAGAAAAUUUCCAGUGGAAAACAGCUGGUAGAAGUUGUCAAUAUCUGUAUUUCCAGAUUCUGCUGCAGGGUAAGCAUCAGCAACAUCUAACACAUCGAAGAUGUCUGAAGGUGUGGCCAAUGAAACUUACCCCUGUUGCAGCAGCACCAGUUUCCAGCCUAAGGCGGGGAAUGAGAGACAUGCUGAUGUGUUUAAUACUCAUGAGAACCACUCCGAGGCUGGAAAGGGAACCCCAAGAGAAAGGUUUCAUGAAAAAAUAGGAGGUAAGAAGGGUUUUCUUUCUACCUCUGAACGUAACACGCAGAGGGAGGCUGGUUUUAAGUUUGGGGCUUGUCUGCAUUUCUUCAUAGGGAAUACUAAAUAAGGAGGUUUUGGUUGCAGGAUUCAGGAUUCCCUGAAAGAUAAGAGUGAAAUACUCCCUCUUUCUGCCUAGCCGCCACCAUCUCGGG
rnacentral:lncRNA from 1 species